GCUGGGUGAGGUGGCACACACCUAUAAUCCCAGUGACCCAGGAAGCUGAGGCAGGAGGAUUGCAAGUUUGAGGCCAGCCCGUGAAAAUUAGGAAGACCUUUAACCACUUAGUGAAAUCCUGUCUCAA
rnacentral:sRNA from 1 species